GACGUAGGGCGCGAGCGUUGUCCGGAUUUAUUGGGCGUAAAGAGCUCGUAGGCGGCUCAUUGCGUCAACCGUGAAAACCAGCAGCUCAACUGUUGGCUUGCGGUUGAUACGGGUGGGCUGGAGUUCGGUAGGGGAGACUGGAAUUCCUGGUGUAGCGGUGAAAUGCGCAGAUAUCAGGAGGAACACCGGUGGCGAAGGCGGGUCUCUGGGCCGAUACUGACGCUGAGGAGCGAAAGCUAGGGGAGCGAACGGG
rnacentral:rRNA from 1 species